GGUGAUGUAGCUCAACAGGCAGAGCGGGAGACUCAUAAUCUCCAGGCAGUCGGUUCGAGUCCGCCCAUCACCACCA
rnacentral:tRNA from 2 species